rnacentral:rRNA from 1 species
CCUACGGGAGGCAGCAGUGGGGAAUAUUGGACAAUGGGCGAAAGCCUGAUCCAGCCAUGCCGCGUGAGUGAUGAAGGCCCUAGGGUUGUAAAGCUCUUUUGUGCGGGAAGAUAAUGACGGUACCGCAAGAAUAAGCCCCGCCU